rnacentral:lncRNA from 10 species
UCAUUUAGCAUAAUGUCCUCCAGGUUCAUCCUCAUUGUCAGAACGGCAAGAUUUCCUUUUUAAAGGCUGAAUAGUAUUUUGUUGUAUGUGCACGUUUGUGUGUACGCGUGUGUGUAUACACAUCUUCUUGAUCCAUUAAUCUGUUCACAGACACUUGGAUUAUUUCCACAUCUUGGCUAUUGUGAACAAUGCUGCCGUGAACAUGGACGUGCAAAGGUUUCUUCAACCUUAGACCCAAAAGUUAGAUUGCUGGGUCUGUCACAGACAUUCUGAACAGCAAAAAGGAACAAACCCACAUCAAGAAUCAUUAACUCCUGGCAGGCAGUGAGGGAGGAGCUUUCAUGACAUUUCAUGAUGCUCUGUCAUCUAAUUCUCUCAACUUCUCUAUGAGAGAUAACCUGGGGGAGAUGCUGCCAACCCUCCUGGUGACCCAGCAGGCCCAGGAAAUGCCCAGCACUUUAAUCAUCAAGCGUCCAAACCUCAGAGGCAUUCACUCCCAUCCUCAGCAUCCCAGGAUCCAACUCGUCCCCAACUCUGGGGAUCACCUGGGAACAGCAACAACAGAGGCCUUUGCAGAUAACAAAGCCUUUCAAAGACUCUACUCCCAGUGGCUUGACUGACAGAAACAAACAACCGACUGACCUAUAGACAAAGGCUAUAUCUACACAAGCAGCUCAAUUUUGGAGGAAAGGGAAUGAGUCUGCUGGUGUGAACACAACCGCCUGCCAGGAAAAGAACCUACUGAGUGCCGAGCACAUUGGCCCAGGCCUCCAUCAUCUAAUUUGUUCCCUGGGUCAAUGCCUACUGGACAAAGAAGCCAAUGAACUAAACUCAACACGAGACCAGAAUCUUGGUGUAGGCAUUCUGUCACUGGCUUUCUACAUGACCUUAAGAGAAGACUUCUUUCCCUGAGCCCCUAUAAAAUGAGGCUUUGGCCUCUGCACCCUCCUAGAACUGAAUGAUAUUGAUUUCAAGGGCUCUGGUCCAGCACGAUUCUGCUCUUAUCAACUCCAGAUUCUUGGUAAAACACUCACUAAUGACCAGAUACGAUCACAGAAGGUGUUUCCACUCACCCCCCCUUGCCUUAUUCCAGUUUGCCCACACCUUGUGCCUUUUGGUAAGAGAAAACAAAGAGGCCUGACGCUGGGAUACGCUUAGAGAAGAUUCGCAGGACAUCUUGGAUCUGCCAGAGGGCGGACCUCUUGGCUGGAAGCCCCAGCCCUUGAGCCAAGCAAUUGUCCCCUUAAUUAAAGACAUACCCCGGACUAUGGAGAGAGCCAGUGGGGACUGACUCAUUUACACUUGGACCAUGAGCCAGGCUGUGCUAAGGAGUCUGCUCUGUGGCUCAGAGGAGGAGGUGGACCUUUUUAUGGAAAUGACUUGAGAUUUUCCUCUUUCAGGAAAAACAAUCUUUUUUUUUUCUUGGAGUAAAUAAAAUAUCUCAG